AAAAAUAUUGGCCGGGCGCGGUGGCUCACGCCUGUAAUCCCAGCACUUUGGGAGGCCGAGGCGGGCGGAUCACGAGGUCAGGAGAUCGAGACCAUCCCGGCUAACACGGUGAAACCCCGUCUCUACUAAAAAUACAAAAAAUUAGCCGGGCGUGGUGGCGGGCACCUGUAGUCCCAGCUACUCGGGAGGCUGAGGCAGGAG
rnacentral:lncRNA from 1 species